rfam:Theileria parva strain Muguga apicoplast, complete genome, whole genome shotgun sequence.
AUAUAUAUAAUUUAACUAAAAUAUUAAUUUUCCGAAUUAAUUUUGAGGGUUAGAAUCCCUCUAUAUAUA